GCCUUAAUCCUGGCUGCCAGGGAGGCUGAGGCCAGUGGAUUGCUUGACCACAGGCAUUAUGAGCUGAGUUAAAAUGACUGGGUGUCCACACUUAGUCUGGCACCAAUAUGGUAAGCCUUGGGGACCAGGUGAUCAUCAGGCUGCCUGAGGAGGGUCAAACUAGCCCAGGUCUGAAACAGAGCCAGUCAAAGCUCCCAUGCCAAUCAAUAGUGGCAGUCCCCAAGGAAAGCCAGUGCCUUUCCAGGCUGGAUAAAAUAGGGAGACCGAGUCUCU
rnacentral:SRP_RNA from 1 species